rnacentral:rRNA from 1 species
UACAGAGGUCGCAAGCGUUGUUCGGAUUCAUUGGGCGUAAAGGGUGCGUAGGCGGCGCGGUAAGUCGGGGGUGAAAUCUCGGAGCUUAACUCCGAAACUGCAUUCGAUACUACCGUGCUUGAGGACUGGAGAGGAGACUGGAAUUCACGGUGUAGCGGUGAAAUGCGUAGAUAUCGUAAGGAAGACCAGUGGCGAAGGCGGGUCUCUGGACAGUUCCUGACGCUGAGGCACGAAGGUCAGGGGAGCAAACGGG